GCGAAAUUGGUGUAGUGGUAACAUCCCAUCCUUCCAAGUUGGUGUCACGGGUUCGAGUCCCGUAUUUCGCU
rnacentral:tRNA from 2 species